rnacentral:ncRNA from 3 species
UGAGAACUGAAUUCCAUAGGUUGU